rnacentral:rRNA from 1 species
AAUAAACGCUGGCGGCGUGCCUAACACAUGCAAGUCGAUCGAGAAAGUCCGAAAGGAUGGGUAAAGUGGCGAACGGGUGAGUAACGCGUAGGAAUCUACCCUUUGGUGAAGGAUACCUUCGAGAAAUCGGAGUUAAUACUGCAUAAGUCGAUGAAUAAUUGAGAAAGACGGCCUAAUAGCUGUCGUCGAAGGAUGAGCCUGCGUACUAUUAGCUAGUUGGUAGGGUAAAAGCCUACCAAGGCAAAGAUGGUUAACCGGCCUGAGAGGGUGUACGGUCACAAUGGAACUGGAACACGGUCCAUACUCCUACGGGAGGCAGCAGUGGGGAAUAUUGCACAAUGGGCGCAAGCCUGAUGCAGCGACGCCGCGUGGAGGAUGAAGGCUUUCGAGUUGUAAACUCCUGUUAAGUGGGAAGAAAUACCUUAGGUUAAUACCCUGGGGGGAUGACGGUACCACUAGAGAAAGCACCGGCAAACUUCGUG